rnacentral:rRNA from 1 species
AUUGAACGCUGGCGGCAGGCCUAACACAUGCAAGUCGAACGAGUGGCGGACGGGUGAGUAAUGUCUGGGAAACUGCCCGAUGGAGGGGGAUAACUACUGGAAACGGUAGCUAAUACCGCGUACCAUCGGCUGUGCCCAGAUGGGAUUAGCUUGUCGGUGAGGUAACGGCUCACCUAGGCGACGACCCCUAGCUGGUCUGAGAGGAUGACCAGACACACUGGAACUGGGACACAGUCCAGAGUCCUACGGGAGUCAGCAGUGGGGAAUAUUACACAAUGGGCGCAGGCCUGAUGAAGCCAUGCCGCGUGUAUAAAGAAGGCCUUCGGGUUGUAAAGUACUUUCAGCGGGGAGGCGUUACCCGCAGAAGAAACACCGGCUAACUCCGUGCCAGCAGCCGCGGUAAUUC